AGUGAACGCUGGCGGCGUGCUUAACACAUGCAAGUCGAACGAGAACGGAUUAUAGCUUGCUAUAAUUGUCAGCUAAGUGGCGCACGGGUGAGCAAUGUAUAGGUAAUAUGCCUCUUACUAAGGGAUAACAAAUGGAAACGUUUGCUAAUACCUUAUACUCCUUAUUAACAGAAGUUAAUAAGGGAAAGAUUUAUUGGUAAGAGAUUAGCCUGUAUUGUAUCAGUUAGUUGGUGGGGUAAUGGCUUACCAAGACUAUGACACAUAACUGGUUUGAGGGGAUGAUCAGUCACACUGGAACUGAGACACGGUCCAGACUCCUACGGGAGGCAGCAGUGGGGAAUAUUGCACAAUGGACGAAAGUCUGAUGCAGCAACGCCGCGUGGAGGAUGACACAUUUCGGUGCGUAAACUCCUUUUAUAUGAGAAGAUAAUGACGGUAUUAUAUGAAUAAGCACCGGCUAACUCCGUGCCAGCCGCCGCUGUAA
rnacentral:rRNA from 1 species